GCCAGCAGCCAUAUCACCCUGCAACUCACAACUGGCAAUCCAAUGAAGCUCAGCAGGUGUGAGCCUGGCCAGUACCUGGAUGGGAGACCUCCUGGGAGACCUCCAGUCUGCUGCUGGAA
rnacentral:rRNA from 1 species